CACUUGGCACUGCAGAACCUGCAGAUAAGAGAAGUUGGUCCUUCCUAUCCUGUAUCUUUGAUCUGCAUUUGGCAGUGGAUGCUGAAGCUGCAAAUUCAGAGGGGCGACUAUAUUUAUUGACAAAAAUCCACAUAUAAGUGGACCCACACACUUCCAACUAGUGUUGUUCAAGAGUCAACUGCACAUUGUAAGUGGAGAAGUGGACUGAAAACAUAGUCUCCUGGAGAGUCAUCUGUGGAAAUCCUUCUUCUGGGAAGAUGUACACGGUGUAUUUGUACCCAGAGGCACCCAUCACAGCUGCGUUGGAGAGAGGCAUGUGCAAAGGGAAGCCAUUUCAAUCAAAAUUGGGAUCACCGAUUAAAAUUUAUUGUGCAUUGUAGCUUGAGAGAUUUGAGGAAAGCAAUCUUUUUCUUUUUAGAAAUCUUUGGUUUUAGUGUAACAAGAACCUCCCCACCUUCCUGUGUGCCACAUACUCUUUACUGUCAUUGUAAAUGGCUAGAUAGUAAUGGGCUGAGGAAAAUGUUCUGGUUUUUAGGACCAGUCAAAUGAACUGCUCCAUCCAGUAUUUAGGAGCUGGAGGUCUCUGGUUCUGCUGGCUGGUAUACUUAUCUAUGAUGACCAUUGCAUUUCUUUCAUUGCCUGUGAAACCCUUCACUGUGAUAUGAUCACAACACAAUAAAAGUAGAAUGAGGUUUUCUUUGCAAUAUAACUGCCAUAGAUUUGUCUGUUGGUGAAGAAACAGUCGCCUUUUGGGGCCUUACUGCUGUGUUCCCUGAUGAGCCUUUUCAGUCCUCUCAGGCCAUGUGGGGACACAUGUGAGGGUCAAGAUUAGUUGUAGAUAUGCAAUGAAUACUAUGCUAGUACUAAUAUCAAUUUUAAUAAGGCAGUAUUACUAUUGUAAUAAUCAGCAUAAAGUAAUACUUUAUUGGUAUUGAUAUUUUAUAAUUAUUAAUGUGAUGAUGACAAUGAUGAUACUGAUGAUAUUAAGCUAAUACACAUGAGCACUUUUUAUGUUCCAACCCUUGCAUUAAAUGUUUUACAUGGAUUAUCUCGUGGGAAUAGAAAGAUGUUAGUAUUAACUCCAUUUUACAAAUGAAUGAACUGUCUUAGAGAGGGGCCACUGCAUUCCCAAAUUAGAAAAUAGCAGAUCUAAUCUAUAGAUCACAGAAUCAGGAAACUUGAGAGUUUAAAGCAACUUUAGAGGCCAGGCACGGUGGGUCAUGCCUGUAAUCCCAGUACUUUGGGAGGCCAAGGUGGGUGGAUCACCUGAAAUCAGUUCGAGACCAGCUUGGACAACAUGGUGAAACCCUGUCUGUACUAAAAAUACAAAAAUUAGCCAGGCGUGGUGGCACAUGCCUAUAAUCUGAACUACCCAGCAGGCUGAGGCAGGAGACUCACUUGAAUCUGGGAGAUGGAGGUUGCAGUGAGCCGAGAUCACGCCACUAUACUCCAGCCUGGGUGACAGAGCAAAACUCCAUCUCAAACAAACAAACAAACAAACAAACAUAAAGCAACUUUAGAGACAAUUCAAUUCAAUGUCCUCAUUUUGAAGGUGAGGGGAUAGAGAUUAAGGAGGUUAUAGGAACUGACCAUAGAUACACAGGGGGCUGCUAAGCCUGACCUCAUGUCUAGGUUUCCUGAGGUCUAGGACUAAGCUUUGAUACUGCAAAUGUCUUCGUGUCCAUACAAUAGCUGGUAAUUUUUGUCAGGUACUAUUUAGAGGAAUCUAGUGCAGUGCUUAUAUUCUUGGGCUCUGGAGUUAAAUAGAAGGCCUGGGUUGAACCCCUACUCUGCCACUUGGGAGCUGUGUAGCUUCAGGCAAACUGUUUAAUCUAAGUCUCAUUGCUCUCCUCUGUGAAACGGGGACAGGAAUUGACCUCAGAGAGCUGCUAUAAGAAUGAAUAAGAUACACAUAUUAUGCUAUUAUCCUAGCCCUCUACCUUACACAUCAUAUUUGGUCAUUUAAUAUUAGCUGUUAGUACCAUGGUAAUAGUUUAGGAUUUGGUAAGCAGAACUCCAUCACGCAAUGAGUCACUGUAACAUCAAUGCCGAUAGACCAAGGAUAAAUCAUAUUUAUCAACGUGGUUGAAUCUAGAAUAACACAGGUCUGAAAUGCAAUCAGCUUAUGAAGUAUAUAUGAAUUACGCUUUCUAUUCUAGUGUUAUAAGUUGAAUCACUCUAUCUAAUAUCAUCAGAAUUUACCCUAAAAGAAAGGAAUAUUGUAAUUGUAAAUGAUAGCAGAGGAGAAUAAAGGCCACCAUCAUGGAAAUAAAUGU
rnacentral:lncRNA from 1 species